rnacentral:lncRNA from 1 species
CAGGCUUGGGACCCACCGGGCGCAGGGUGUCCAUUGUUCUCUCGAAGCAACUGAGAAUUGUGGAUAUUCUUCAUUAUUCCAUCAUCAUCUCAAACCUCUUGGGUAUAGUGUUUGACUACUACUGUGACCAUAAAUUCCAAUAAAACCUAGGAAAAAUGAAACCACUACAUUAACUGAAAGGCCAAAACAAGUUACAAGAUCAGACCAGACCCAUGGAGGUAGAGGAAGAUUCAACAUUUGAUGGCAGAGUGUCUUUGACAAAGUUACAGGAUCAAAAUUGAAAGGAGAGCUUUUGGAUUACAUGCUAGCCAAGCUAAUGCUGACUUCUGUUCAGAGAAAAUUUGGAUAUUUAUUCUUUACACUGAAGAUCCCGACUUCCAUUACACAGUUCUCUUUCUUCAGCAUUUCAGAUGAUGAAGAGGUGUUUAAAAAUGACAUAGCAUCUCUUUAUCAUGCAAAUCUGAAUAUAAAAUGUGAAUAAAAUUAAAUCAUAAGCUGUAAGUUGAAGAAAAAUAAAAACUAAAUUAUUUUU